GCUGGGAAAAGGGGUGUGUAUCUACAAUCCCAGCUGCUUGGGAAGCUGAGGCAGGAGAAUUACUUGAACCCAGGAGUCCUGGACAGUCUGGGCAACAUAGUGAGACUCUGACUCAA
rnacentral:sRNA from 1 species